UACGGAAGGGGCAAGCGUUGUUCGGAAUCAUUGGGCGUAAAGGGCGCGUAGGUGGUUCUGUAUGUCUACCGUGAAAGCGUACGGCUCAACCGUAUUUUGUCGGUGGAAACUGCAGGACUUGAGGCUGGGAGGGGCUGGUGGAAUUCCCUGUGUAGCGGUGAAAUGCGUAGAGAUGGGGGAGAACACUCGUGGCGAAGGCGGCCAGCUAGACCAGUUCUGACACUGAGGCGCGACAGCGUGGGGAGCAAUCAGG
rnacentral:rRNA from 1 species